AGUAAGAUCCGCUAAUACAAGCCUUUGGGCCCAUACCCCAACAAUGUUGGUUAAAAUCCUUCUCUUACUA
rnacentral:tRNA from 1 species